AAGCCAGAGCAGGAGAAACACACAGGCUUCCAGUAAUCUGCAAAGAAGUUCUGCUAAAUCAUGCUUGGCUCCUCCUACAGCAAGCCCAGUAGUGUGUGAGAGCAUUUCUCCGGCAGAUGCAUGGCCCUACUGCGAUGACAUAAAGGCCUAGUGGCUAAAAUUGUUCUUGAAGCUCCUGCCUUCUGUUAUCUGGACAGUAGCCAUGCCUGUCCCAGGAACUUUCUGAAGGAUCCUAAGCUACAGCAGAUUAUACCAGAGAAAUGGAGUUGAGAUGACCUUUCCAAGACCAUCAAGAGACCACCUAAAAAUGCAUAGGGCAGAUGCUUCCCAGAUUGAAACAUGGAAAAAGGAGCUUCUCAUCAGUGUCUAUCUUCAGACUUUCACAUCUUACCCCCACCACCACCCUGUGCAGACAAUUGUGCUUCCAGCAUCUAUUUCACAGAAAACAGUCACUCAAGCCAUGGAUAUUUUCACUUUAUGCCCUUUCUGUAAACCACUCUGUGUUGGCUAUACUCUUCACCUCUUCUCACUUGGCCUCCCUGCCCUCCUUCCCAGCUUCUCUGCUUUUUUCCAUCAAGGGAAGAAGUAAACACAGGGUCAAUGCAGGGGUGAGGGCUUGAAAUCUAAAUAGCAACUGUUGGAUUUGGUAACAUGAAAAUCUUCGAUCAGUACCCAAUUCCCUGCAUCUUAUUCAUUCUGCCACCAAUGGUGGCUUUUGCUAAACUCUU
rnacentral:lncRNA from 12 species